GUGGGAGAGGAGGCGUGGGUGGGAGGGGAGGUGUGAGAGGGAGGGGAGGUGAGAGUGGGAGGAGUGGGAGGCAACGAGUGAGUGGGGGGCAGGCUUGGUGGGAGGGGGGCAUGAGUGGGAGGGGAGGCAUGAGUGAGAGGCGAGAGGGGGAGGGGAGGCGCUAGAAGGAGGGGAGGCGAGAGUAGGAGGGGAGGCGUGAAUGGGAGGCGUGAGUGGGAGGGGAGGUGUGAGUGGGAGGUGAGUGGGGAGGGGAGGCGUGAGUGGGAGAGGAGGCAUGAAUGGGAGGCGUGAGUGGGAGGUGAGGCAUGAGUGGGAGGGGAGGCGUGAGUGGGAGGGGGCGUGAGUGGGAGGUGAAGCGUGAUUGGGAGGCGAGAGGGGGAGGGAAGGCGUGAGUGGGAGGGGGGCGUGAGUGGGAGGCGGGGCGUGAGUGGGAGGUGGGGCGUGAGUGGGAGGGGAGGCGUGAGUGGGAGGCGGGGCGUGAGUGGGAGGCGGGGCGUGAGUGGGAGGCGGGGCGUGAGUGGGAGGCGGGGCGUGAGUGAGAGGUGAGGAAGUGGUGACAGCAGCAUGGGCCACUGUCAGUUCAGCUGUGUGUGGGGGUGGGGAGGGAGGACGUUCUCAGGGCUCCCUCUCAGAGUAUUCAGGGCCCCGCCGAAAUGUCACCACUACCCGAGACCAUCUCUGACCUCCUCCUGUGGCGUUCUCCACCAUGCCUCUGUCUGGUCGUCUCCCCUGCCUGGGGAAGACAGCGCCAUGAGGCAGGACUUGGUCCCCAGCUCCCAGACCAGUGGCUGGCACACAGCAAGUGGCUGAAGGAAUGCAUGAGUCGGGUGGAGGGCUGGCCUUCACCAGGGAAGAGGAGGAAACAGCAGACUGCGCUCCACUAAACAGGGCUGGGAAGCCUGAGGCUGAGGGAAUCCCUACCACAUGACUAGAAUCUUCUAUGUGAAAUGGGAGGUGAGGCCUUGAUUCAGAGUCAGAGGUAGGGACGUGGGCAGGACGGGACUGUGAGAAGGGUUGGAGAUUUGAGCAGAGAAGACAAAUUAAUGUUAAAAAUCUCUCUAAGAUAUCUUAAUUCGUUAACACUUACUUGGCACCCUAGUAGUAGGUAUGGUCAAUAACUCCAUCUUUCAGGUG
rnacentral:lncRNA from 1 species